UACAGAGGGUGCAAGCGUUAAUCGGAGUUACUGGGCGUAAAGGGCGCGUAGGUGGUGAUAUGAGUGUGAUGUGAAAGCCCCGGGCUUAACCUGGGAAGUGCAUCGCAAACGAUAUUACUAGAGUAUAUGAGAGGGUGGCGGAAUUUCCGGUGUAGCGGUGAAAUGCGUAGAGAUCGGAAGGAACGUCGAUGGCGAAGGCAGCUGCCUGGCAUAAUACUGACACUGAGGCGCGAAAGCGUGGGGAGCGAACAGG
rnacentral:rRNA from 1 species